rnacentral:rRNA from 1 species
CCUACGGGGGGCUGCAGUCGAGAAUCUUCCGCAAUGGGGGCAACCCUGACGGAGCGACGCCGCGUGCGGGAUGAAGGCCUUCGGGUUGUAAACCGCUGUCACAGGUUAAGAAGGGCUUGGCGUUAACAGCGCUAGGCUUUGACGAAGGCCUGAGAGGAAGCCACGGCUAACUUCGUGCCAGCAGCCGCGGUAAGACGAAGGUGGCGACCGUUGUUCGGAAUCACUGGGCAUAAAGAGCACGUAGGCGGCAGGGUAUGUCGGGUGUGAAAUCCCUCGGCCCAACCGAGGAAUUGCGCCCGAAACUACCUUGCUUGAGGAUGGAAGGGGAGCGUGGAAUUCCUGGUGGAGCGGUGAAAUGCGUUGAUAUCAGGAGGAACACCGGCGGCGAAGGCGACGCUCUGGUCCAUUACUGACGCUGAGGUGCGAAAGCCAGGGGAGCAAACGGGCUUAGAUACCCUUGUAGUC